rnacentral:rRNA from 1 species
CCUACGGGAGGCAGCAGUGAGGAAUAUUGGUCAAUGGACGCAAGUCUGAACCAGCCAUGCCGCGUGAGUGAAGAAGUAUUUCGGUACGUAAAGCUCUAUCAGCCGGGAAGAAAAUGACGGUUCAUGACUAACGAGCCCCGGCUACCUACGUGACAGCAGCCGCGGUAAGACGUAGGGGGCCAGCGUUAUCCGGAUUUACUGCGUGUAAAGGGAGCGUAGACGGCAGCGAAAGUCUGGAGUGAACUCCCAUGGCUUAACCAUGGAACUGCUUUGGAAACUGUGCAGCUGGAGUGCAGGAGAGGUAAGCGGAAUUCCUAGUGUAGCGGUGAAAUGCGUAGAUAUGAGGAGGAACACCAGUGGCGAAGGCGGCUUACUGGACUGUAACUGACGUUGAGGCUCGAAAGCGUGGGGAGCAAACAGGAUUAGAUACCCCUGUAGUC